CACGAACCGUCCGAACGUUAUUCGGAAUCACUGGGCUUAAAGGGUGCGUAGGCGGUGCGGUAAGUUGGGUGUGAAAUCCCUCGGCUCAACCGAGGAACUGCGCUCAAUACUGCCGUACUUGAGGGAGACAGAGGUAAGCGGAACUGAUGGUGGAGCGGUGAAAUGCGUUGAUAUCAUCAGGAACACCAGUAGCGAAGGCGGCUUACUGGGUCUCUUCUGACGCUGAGGCACGAAAGCUAGGGUAGCGAACGGG
rnacentral:rRNA from 1 species